CUACGCACUCCUACGGGAGGCAGCAGUGGGGAAUAUUGCACAAUGGGCGCAAGCCUGAUGCAGCCAUGCCGCGUGUAUGAAGAAGGCCUCGGGUUGUAAAGUACUUUCAGCAGUGAGGAAGGUGGGUAUGUUAAUAGCAUAUUCAUUUGACGUUAGCUGCAGAAAAAGCACCGGCUAACUCCGUGCCAGCAGCCGCGGUAAUACGGAGGGUGCGAGCGUUAAUCGGAAUUACUGGGCGUAAAGCGCAUGCAGGUGGUUUGUUAAGUCAGAUGUGAAAGCCCGGGGCUCAACCUCGGAAUUGCAUUUGAAACUGGCAAACUAGAGUACUGUAGAGGGGGUAGAAUUUCAGGUGUAGCGGUGAAAUGCGUAGAGAUCUGAAGGAAUACCGGUGGCGAAGGCGGCCCCCUGGACAGAUACUGACACUCAGAUGCGAAAGCGUGGGGAGCAAACAGGAUUAGAUACCCUGGUAG
rnacentral:rRNA from 1 species